rnacentral:rRNA from 1 species
UACAGAGGUCUCGAGCGUUGUUCGGAUUCAUUGGGCGUAAAGGGCGCGUAGGCGGCGGGGUAAGUCUGGUGUGAAAUCCCGAGGCUCAACCUCGGAACUGCCUUCGAUACUGCGGGUCUCGAGUCCGGGAGAGGUGAGUGGAAUUCCUAGUGUAGAGGUGAAAUUCGUAGAUAUUAGGAAGAACACCAGUGGCGGAAGGCGGCUCACUGGCCCGGUACUGACGCUGAGGCACGAAAGCGUGGGGAGCAACAGGG